UCCGGCCUCGCAUCACGCACAUCGCCAUAGCCAUGCGCGUAACCACAGUACUGUGCAUCUGCUCACAUGCGCACUAGUCCACAGGCGCUCACAAGAGCAGCGAUGCUACUUGCUUCUCGACAGCCGACCAUUCGCGUGUGAUCCUGCCGUUUUCUUUUUUUCUACGUUCCUGUUACAUUCGUUCAUGGCUCCCACUAAUACACGCCAGCCCAGCCUGCAAUCAUGCUUUAGUGCACACCAGGUCGGCAACGUCUGAGCCAUCGCCGUGCCGAAGAGGCCCGCGACCACCACUGCGUUUGAACCACCGCACUACGUAAUCGUGUCAAUAAUUCCGCAAACAGCCGCCUCGGCCCCCUAGCCCCCCCCCCCACGGCUGCCCAGCGCGACAGGCUGGGUGCUCUGCGCGGGGCCGGCGCACAGGCUUGGCCCCCGGCCCGGCCCCCUCCGCCAGCCUCCUCUGCCCGGCCACAGCCCCGCGACUGUGAAGGGCGUGCGGGUGGAGAGGAGGCUGGAGCGUCUCCUGCCGCCGCCGGCGCAGGGCAGUAUCCGGACUGUCGCGGCAACAUGCGGGCAAGCCAUCCAGGCACGCCUCCCCUCCUCCUCCACCUCCCCCCAGGCAAGAACGCCGUCUUGACGCAGGCCGCGGGGUGCCGCAAAUGCGAGCACGGCGCGCAGGCGCCGUGGGGCACAGCCGGCACGGUGUACCACGCCCAGGCACAGCAUCCGGCGGUCAGCGGAGCGCGAGUGAGGGGCGCGAAGCGGCCCAUGCCGAUCACCCCCCUCCCCCGACGAGCAUGCCUGCGAAGCAUGCGGCACAGCCCGUCUGCAUCCCGACGGGGCGGGCUGAUGAGGCGCAGACGCCGGGAGCAUGGCGAGAGCACCGCCGAGCCCUGCAGACUCCCACGCGACGAGUCGCCGCGCCAGAUCACGGAAUAGCGCGACUUGCAGCGGCUCUGGGCGCAGGAGCACGGCACGCAGGCCGGGCCUCAGAGGGCCCUAACCCCGAGGCUGGCCCGCCUCCUCCUCGAGCUCGUGCGGCGUGCACGGUGGCCGCCCCCUGUUACGCGGGCGACAGAGACGCCGUCGCCGCUGCCCUGGAGCGCAGGACGCUGCAGGCGACCCUGCUUGGAUCGAGGCAUGCGCCCCAGCGGAGGCCCGUCUGGCGCCCGAGGCGCGCGGCUCGAUUUCGCGGCAGAGGGCGGUGCGCCCUAGACGACCAGAGUGUAGCCGUGGUGCCGCAGAGGUGGGUGAGCUGUGGUUAUGUGUGCGUUUACGUUUGUGGAGUAGUUCGAAAGGGGCGGAAAGUGCUCCAGGAAGGAAACUGGGCUUUGGUGUAGGGACGUCUGUGACGGUCUGUGUGUUUCUUGUUCUGUUUGCUGUCGCAUCAUGCGGGAGCUGAGGAGCUCCGUGCCGUCUCUCACGGGUGUUGCUUUGAUUUUUUUUUUCGGUAGGGGUGGGGGAGUGAGCGCACUUGCGAGAAGAUCGAGAGCCACAUGCACCAAUGAGAUGCGGGGACAUACGCGGAGCAGGCGUGGACUCGAAAGCGUCUGUAAGGUGUUUCUUUUUGCUUGUGUGCUUUUCGUGCUUCUCCCUGUGUUCUCAGUGGCCGCUCACCUGCCCCGCACGUGUCGUUUCAUGCACGCGCAGAAUGGGCGGGUGGCGUGGAAGGAUUCACAGCAAACGAAUUGGACAAGCACUAUAGUAAAGGGCGAGUGGCACACACACACGAACAGUGAAGACCCGUCAUGGCCUCUCCUCGGUCGCCACCCCACCCCCUUCUCCCCAUAAGUGGCACUCCUGUUCUGCUUUACGUAGCUCGCCGGAGAGAGCACGAACG
rnacentral:misc_RNA from 1 species